rnacentral:rRNA from 1 species
UGGGGAAUAUUGCACAAUGGGGGAAACCCUGAUGCAGCGACGCCGCGUGGAGGAAGAAGGUCUUCGGAUUGUAAACUCCUGUUGUUGGGGAAAUAGAUGGUACCAACAAGGAAGUGACGGCUAACUACGUGCCAGCAGCCGCGGUAAAACGUAAGGUCACAAGCGUUGUCCGGAAUUACUGGGUGUAAAGGGAGCGCAGGCGGGUAUGCAAGUUGGAAGUGAAAUACAUGGGCUCAACCCAUGAACUGCUUUCAAAACUGUGUAUCUUGAGUAGUGCAUAGGUAGGCGGAAUUCCCGGUGUAGCGGUGGAAUGCGUAGAUAUCGGGAGGAACACCAGUGGCGAAGGCGGCCUACUGGGCACCAACUGACGCUGAGGCUCGAAAGUGU